UGUCGCAGAAGAUGGGCAUCCACGAGUGGAGCUACGACAACGCCAUCCACAACGACAAGCGUUAUCGCGUCCCGCUCAAGGACACGGUCAUCGCGUUGCGCGACAUCCGGACCGAGGUCGAGCUGGGCUUCGACCGCCGUGUCGGCUAUGCCGAGGCGCAGCGUUGCCUCAACUGUGACGUCGAGACGGUAUUCGCGGGCAAGUUGUGCAUCGAAUGCGACGCGUGCGUCGACAUCUGUCCGAUGGAUUGCAUCACGUUCACGCAGGACGGCGAGGAAGCCGACCUGCGCGGGCGGCUCAAUGCUCCCGCGCUAAAUCUCACGCAGGAUCUGUACUUAGCCGGCGGAUUGAAGACCGGCCGCGUGAUGGUCAAGGACGAGGACAUGUGCCUGCACUGCGGCCUGUGCGCCGAGCGCUGCCCGACCGGCGCAUGGGACAUGCAGAAGUUCCUGCUCGACAUGGCGCAAGCGGACGAUCGCUGCCACCCGCAACAGGGUUCGACGUCGGCAAAGCGCGCGGAUCGCCCAUCCGUGCCGCUGAUGGCGACGCCGGCCGAGUGACGCAAUGACUCCGCCCGCCGCCGUGGUUUCCCGCGUCAACGACUUCGUCGUCAAGUUCGCCAACGUCAACGGCUCCGGCUCCGCGUCCGCGAACGGACUCUUCGCCAAGGCGAUCCUGCGCAUGGGCGUGCCGGUCGCUGCGCGCAACAUCUUUCCGUCCAACAUCCAGGGCCUGCCGACGUGGUUCGAGGUGCGCGUGGUCGAAGCCGGCUGGCGAGGGCGCCGCGGAGGCGUCGACAUGGCGGUCGCGAUGAAUCCGCAGACCUGGGACAAGGACCUGGCCGAGGUGGAUGCCGGCGGCUAUGUCUUCUAUGACUCGACCAAGCCGUUGCCGCCGU
rnacentral:misc_RNA from 1 species